UUUAACAAAAACAUGUCCUUUUGAGUUUAAUUUAAGGUCGGGCCUGCCCCCUGAUUUUCAUUAAAGGGCCGCGGUAUUUUGACCGUGCAAAGGUAGCAUAAUCAUUAGUCUUUUAAUUGAGGGCUGGAAUGAAUGGUUUGACGAAAUAUUAACUGUCUCUUUAUAAAAAAAUAAAAUUUAACUUCUGAGUCAAAAGGCUUAGAUAAAUAUAAAAGACGAGAAGACCCUAUAGAUCUUUAUAUAUGGAUAUAUUUAUUUUGUUUGGGUGUAAUUUUAAUAAAAAUAUCGUUAUAUUUUGUUGGGGUGACAUGAAGAUAAAUCUAACUCUUUAUUAUAAAUACAUUGAUUUAUGAAUGAUUGAUCCGUUAUUGGCGAUUGUAAGAUAAAGUUACCUUAGGGAUAACAGCGUAAUUUUUUUUGAGAGUUCUUAUCGACAAAAAAGGUUGCGACC
rnacentral:rRNA from 1 species